rnacentral:tRNA from 1 species
GCCGCCGUAGCUCAAUUGGCAGAGCACCUGAUUUGUAAUCUGGAGGUUGCCGGUUCGAUUCCGGUCGGCGGCU